AUGGAAGAUGCCGAGAACCCAAGCUGCUCCCUCCAGCGUGCCCCCUCCAUGGCUCGUCGUCGCUCUGUGACCACAUCCAGCUCUAGUGCCAAAAAAAUAAUGGUGCCGAACAGCACAUACAUAAGUGUGGUGGACACUAUCCUGCGGCAUGAUGCUCCUGCUUCCCUGCUGUUUGCCAUGGAUUUAACAUAUUUGUCUUGUUGGGAAUCCGAGCAGCUGUUGCAGAAGGACGUCAACCUCCUUAAUCCGAUGGCUGAGCUAGAGAAGCACUCACAAGAAGAAGCAUCUCGUGCAGUCCAUCAACUCAUCAUGUACGUGCGCAUCAGAUCAUGUAUGGUCCAGAGGAAAUAUUCCUUUCUCUUUCAAUUGAUUUGUCUCCUGGCCCCUUUUGUCUUUGUUUUAUAUGUCCGUAGGAUGUCAUGUGCCAGAACCGCUUCAACAUGUGAGCAUGAUCCUUUCCAAGCUUUAGUAAUGUGUUGCUAG
rnacentral:rRNA from 1 species